rnacentral:rRNA from 1 species
UACGAAGGGGGCUAGCGUUGUUCGGAAUCACUGGGCGUAAAGGGCGCGUAGGCGGCUUUAUAAGUCGGGGGUAAAAGCCUGUGGCUCAACCACAGAAUUGCCUUCGAUACUGCAUGGCUUGAGACCGGAAGAGGUAAGUGGAACUGCGAGUGUAGAGGUGAAAUUCGUAGAUAUUCGCAAGAACACCAGUGGCGAAGGCGGCUUACUGGUCCGGUUCUGACGCUGAGGCGCGAAAAGCGUGGGGAGCAAACAGG